UUUUGAUGAGAGUAGUAAUUUUUUUUUGAAGAUACUCAAAGUCUUUUUGAUUCACCAUUGUAUCAGGUCCUCGGAUCGAGUGCUCUGAUAUCAAUUGUAGUGAUCCACAAUACAAACUGGUCUCAAGAACAACCCAAGAGCUAAGAGGGAGAAUGAAAAGUAUUUUCAGAUUCAAUAUUCAAUAAUGUUCUUCUACAGAGAGAGACUCAGGAGAUAAACAUGAUUGGCACACGCACCAAUCUCACACACGCCUCCUAAUAAUUACCAACGAUAGAAAACAGUAAAGUUAAACUAGAUGUUAAGGCAGCCGGCAGUGGAUAGUCCUUAACAGGGGUAUCCCUUAAGCUUAGGUUGGGACAUGACAAAACGUACUCGACGGGGAAAAAAUCUUUAUAGAGAAAUGAUUGAGAGUGGUUCCAUUAGGCUAACAGACAAGCAGGCUGAAAGCAAGUGCGCUCUUGUAAAUGAACGUGCCCCCUGGUACUCGUGCUCGUGUUGGACUUACUGGUCUGACUGUUAUUGAGCAUUUCAGAGAUGCUUCGGGUCGGGAUGUGAUUCUCUUUAUUGAUGACAUUUUUCGUUUCACUGAAGCUAACUCUGUGGUGUCUACUUUGCUUGGUCAUAUCCCAUCAGUUAUUGGUUCGCUUUGAUCGAUAAGGCAUCAUGUUGGUUCCGUUCAAAUACUCAAAUUUACUAGGAUAUCGCAAGAUAUAUUUGCAUGUGGGAUAUAAACAAGGGAUUGUCGAUCGAAAGAUGAAUACAAUUGUAUUUUAGUACGUGGCUAUAAAAAUUAAUUAUUAAAUUUGGGUGAAAUAACCAAAUAGGAUAUUUGAAAAGUAUUUUUGAGUCUAGGAUAUUUGAACAAUAUCUUCUUUUACAUGUACAUUUGACUUAAGAAAAUUUUUUUAAAGGUUAUUCAACCCAUUGUGUGUAUAGAGAAGAUAAUUACUAAAAAAUGGUAACCUAGUAAUUUAUGAACCACUGGGAAAAUUCCUUUUUGGUGUUUUUCUUUAGUA